GGUGCUCUUCCGAUCUCGAUGAUCAAAUCGGAACCAGUCGAAGGAAGGACAUGCAGAUAGGAGAAAGACCUUGGAUGAGUACAACUACAAGUGAACUGAGGAUCUUGGAAAUGUCACUCGACAGGUGCCACGUCCCACCCAACCUCGUAGAAUCCUAUUAGACAUGCAAUAAUGUAGAUGCUAGUGCUUUACUUUUA